rnacentral:misc_RNA from 1 species
UCUCCGUAGGUGAACCUGCGGAGGGAUCAUUACAGAGUUCAUGCCCUAACGGGUAGAUCUCCCACCCUAUGUUAUCAUCACUUUGUUGCUUUGGCGGGCCGUCAGGCCUCGGCUUGGCUACCGGCUCUCGCUAGUAAGCGCCCGCCAGAGAACCCCAAACCCUGAAUAUCAGUGUCGUCUGAGUACUAUAUAAUAGUUAAAACUUUCAACAACGGAUCUCUUGGUUCUG